AGGGAUGUAAUUUAGAGAAAAACAAAUGGCAACAAUCUAGAUGGCAAAAAGAGUGAAAAUUGCUGCAGGCCUGAAGAAGGGGAGCAGUUACAGCAGUGGGAAUGGCAGAAACUCCACUCAGAUCUAUUACCCCGACUCCCCUGUGAAAAGACACAUUUUCCCCAAAUCACCAAUUCUACAGGAAAAGUCUCAGCAUUAAACUGAAAGAAGAAAUGUUGAAUUUCAACAAGAAAAGCAACACUAAACGCUCCGAAACAAUUUUAUGAUAUUGAUUGGAAAUGGAAGCAAUAGAAAGUAUUGGCAAGAAGAAUAAUCAAUUAUAUAGACAUUAGUCUUGUACAAAGGUGGGUGUGGUAGGUUGGGAUGAGAAAACAUGUUUCAUUUAUAUCAUAGUUAAUAUGAAGUGAUAAUAUUAAUCUUUGUAACCAAUUGUAACUUACAGAACUUGAAAAAUUCUCAGGAUCAGUUUAUGUGUGAUGACAGUAAAAGACAACACACUAUUUCAUGCUUUGACUUUUUUGAUUUUACCAGACACAAAGGAGACUUAGGAGUCACGAGAAUGAGUACAGUGUGAUUCUGAGUUGAAUUCAACUUCAAGUUCAGUGCACUACCAAUAUGCCAACGUUCCUUCAGUUUUAUUCUAUUGGUUUCUGACUGAAUGGAAACUGUUAUCUAUUUUGUCUUGAACAAUGGAUGUUAAUUACAAAAGUUAUUUUAAAAAACAAACCAAGAAAAAUAGACUGAAGCUCCUGGGAGGUACUGCAAAGGCAAGUAGAUUCAUGCAUUAGCAGGAAAGGAUGUGGUUUAAAAAAACCCAAAAACUGAAUAAAACAUACAAUGUUUAGAGCUGUAUGAUAUUCCCUAUUAGGCUGAAAAUCUGUUGUACAGGGAAAACAUUAUUUUAGCCAAUUCGAUAGAAAUUUGGAAAUUAAUGCAUUGAUGGCAGGAAAAGAAUUAUAAACAAAUAUAUUAGGAGACAUUUGAAGUAUUUAUACUUAGGUUGAAUAUUUAAAAUUUUUAUUUACAUAACUUGUACUGAUACAUAUGUUUUUAUUUGUAUUUUUGCAGUAAGAUUUUUGAAGAGGGAUCUUUAAUAUGUAAAUAUUAUAAAAUCUAAUAAUCUGAAACUGUAA